rnacentral:rRNA from 1 species
CCUACGGGAGGCAGCAGGGGGGAAUUUUGGACAAUGGGCGAAAGCCUGAUCCAGCCAUUCCGCGUGAGUGAAGAAGGCCUUCGGGUUGUAAAGCUCUUUCGCAAGGGAAGAAAACUUAGAUACUAAUAUUAUCUGAGGUUGACGGUACCUUGAUAAGAAGCACCGGCUAACUACGUGCCAGCAGCCGCGGUAAUACGUAGGGUGCGAGCGUUAAUCGGAAUUACUGGGCGUAAAGCGUGCGCAGGCGGUUUUGUAAGUCAGAUGUGAAAUCCCCGAGCUCAACUUGGGAACUGCGUUUGAAACUACAAGACUAGAAUAUGUCAGAGGGGGGUAGAAUUCCACGUGUAGCAGUGAAAUGCGUAGAGAUGUGGAGGAAUACCAAUGGCGAAGGCAGCCCCCUGGGAUAAUAUUGACGCUCAUGCACGAAAGCGUGGGGAGCAAACAGGAUUAGAUACCCUGGUAGUCCACGCCCUAAACGAUGUCUACUAGUUGUUGGUGGAGUAAAAUCCAUGAGUAACGCAGCUAACGCGUGAAGUAGACCGCCUGGGGAGUACGGUCGCAAGAUUAAAACUCAAAGUGUAAUUGACCGGNGUGAGAGCGACGACGACGACGACGAGGGAGGAGG